CAUAUACUUUCUGCGUCUGAAAAUAUUUGUCGUAGGAAUGGAUGUACCUAGAUAUACUUUAGUUCUACAUACAUUUAUUUGUAUUUAUUUUUGUGAUAAGUAAUUUCAGACGGAAAGAGUAUUUA
rnacentral:pre_miRNA from 1 species